GACGAACGCUGGCGGCGUGCUUAACACAUGCAAGUCGAACGGAAAGGCCUCUUUCGGGGGGUACUCGAGUGGCGAACGGGUGAGUAACACGUGAGUAACCUGCCCUUGACUUUGGGAUAGCUUCAGGCAACUGGGGCUAAUACCGGACAGGAGCUCCUGCUGCAUGGUGGGGGCUGGAGAGUUUCGGCGGUUGGGGAUGGACUCGCGGGUUAUCCGCUUGUUGGUGGGGUAUUGGCUUACCAAGGCCUUGCCGGGUAGCCGGACUGAGGGGGUGACCGGCCACACUGGCACCGAGAGGAGGCCCAGACAGCGACGGGUGGGAGAAGUGGGAAAGACUGAACAAGGGGUGGAAGGUGGGUGAUGAAGCGCCGUGGGUCGGAAGACUGUCUUCUGGUUGAAGAACGAUUUUGUUCAUGACGAUGCAUUGUUUGACGGUAGUGGGUAAAGAAGCACCGGCUAACUACGUG
rnacentral:rRNA from 1 species